AUUGAACGCUGGCGGCAUGCUUUACACAUGCAAGUCGAACGGCAGCGGGGAGGAGCUUGCUUCUCUGCCGGCGAGUGGCGAACGGGUGAGUAAUACAUCGGAACGUGUCGAGAAGAGGGGGAUAACCACCCGAAAGGGUGGCUAAUACCGCAUAAAUUCUGAGGAGGAAAGCUGGGGACCUAGGAAUAGGCCUAGCGCUUUUUGAGCGGCCGAUGUCGGAUUAGCUAGUUGGUGAGGUAAAGGCUCACCAAGGCGAAGAUCUGUAGCGGGUCUGAGAGGAUGAUCCGCCACACUGGGACUGAGACACGGCCCAGACUCCUACGGGAGGCAGCAGUGGGGAAUUUUGGACAAAGGGGGCAACCCUGAUCCAGCCAUGCCGCGUGUAUGAAGAAGGCCUUAGGGUUGUAAAGUACUUUUGUUAGGGAAGAAAAGUCAGCUGUGAAUAAUGGCUGAUACUGACGGUACCUAAAGAAUAAGCACCGGCUAACUACGUG
rnacentral:rRNA from 1 species